GCUCUCUCUCUCUCUCUCUCUGUCAUGUCCUGUGUUCUCACGUGUAUGACUACACACACACUCCUUCUACCACCACCAGCCUGAACUUAGCUUCUUCUGUGGAUUUCUCCGUUCCACCUUAAACGCUUCCUCAGGCGCCUGAAUGUAACUGGUGCACCAUUUAAGGUGGACCGGACAAAUUGUCAGAAGUAGCCUCGGAACUUCAGUCUCGUCCCCAACAGUGCCGCUCCGCUCACCGCUCAGCAACACAAACCCGGAGACAGAGAGAGAGAGAGAGAGAGAGAGAGGCGGAGAUUCAGCACAGCGCCCCCAGCGCAGCCCACCGAUCAGGUGCUUUAGGAAUUCUAACGUAACACAGAAAUGAACCCAAAAUCAAGUUUGGCAGUGCUGGAACAUCUACCUACAGGGAGCUGACAGAGGAAGAUCAGGUCUGCUGUUCUGGAAAGAGCAGAACACCAACUAAUGCAAUUUGGCAUUUACAUGAAUUUGCUCUUGUAUGUUGUAGUUACAAAAUAAAUAUGUUACACUGGACAACAAUCACUUUUUCUUUA